UGCUAGAAUCUGUAAAGCUCGGGAGGGAUAGCGCCAUAGAAUAUCUUCAAUUUCUCUUCUUUGUUGUUAUAUUGAUUUUCUCUAGCGCUAUCCAUCCUGAGUUUCAUGGCUUCUUCAU
rnacentral:pre_miRNA from 1 species